CCUACGGGGGGCAGCAGUGGGGAAUAUUGCACAAUGGGGGAAACCCUGAUGCAGCAACGCCGCGUGAGUGAUGACGGCCUUCGGGUUGUCCCGCUCUGUCUUCCUUUCCGCUCCUGCCGGUCCCUGCGGCGGCCGCCCCGGCUACCUACGUGCCAGCCGCCGCGGUCCUCCGUCGGUGGCGCGCGUUGUCCGGCUUUCCUGGGCGUCCCGGGCGCGUCGGCGGCCUUUUCCGUGCGCUGUGCCCUCCUCGGGCUCCCCUUGCGUGCUGCCUUUCCCCCUGGCCGUCUCGCGUGCCGGCGAGGAGC
rnacentral:rRNA from 1 species